rnacentral:rRNA from 1 species
AGUGAACGCUGGCGGUAGGCCUAACACAUGCAAGUCGAACGGCAGCACAGUAAGAGCUUGCUCUUACGGGUGGCGAGUGGCGGACGGGUGAGGAAUACAUCGGAAUCUACUUUUUCGUGGGGGAUAACGUAGGGAAACUUACGCUAAUACCGCAUACGACCUACGGGUGAAAGCAGGGGAUCUUCGGACCUUGCGCGAUUGAAUGAGCCGAUGUCGGAUUAGCUAGUUGGCGGGGUAAAGGCCCACCAAGGCGACGAUCCGUAGCUGGUCUGAGAGGAUGAUCAGCCACACUGGAUGUGAGACACGGUCCUGACUGCUACGGGAGGCAGCAGUGGGGAAUAUGGGACAAUGGGCGCAAGCCUGAUCCAGCCAUACCGCGUGGGUGAAGAAAGCCUUCGGGUUGUGAAGCCGUUUUGUUGGGAAAGAAAAGCAGCAGGUUAAUACCCCGCUGUUCUGACGGUACCGAGAGAAUAAGCACCGGCUAACUUCGUG